CCUACGGGAGGCAGCAGUGGGGAAUAUUGCGCAAUGGGCGAAAGCCUGACGCAGCGAAGCCGCGUGAGGGAUGAAGGUCUUCGGAUCGUAAACCUCUGUCAGCAGGGAAGAACGGUCACUGUGCUAAUCAGCAGUGAAUUGACGGUACCUGCAAAGGAAGCACCGGCUAACUCCGUGCGAGCAGCCGCGGUAAUACGGAGGGUGCGAGCGAUAAUCGGAAUUACUGGGCGUAAAGCGCUCGUAGGCGGGAUGUCAAGUCAAGGGUGAAAUCCCGGCGCUCAACGUGGGAACUGCCUUUGAAACUGGCAAACUGGAGGGUGUGAGAGGAUAGUGGAAGUCGAGGUGGAGGAGUG
rnacentral:rRNA from 1 species